GAGGAAUGAUAACAACUCAUCGUGAGGUUAUAAACGCUCAGUUGAUGCAAGGAGCAGCAAAGCAAUAAACUGGGAAACCAGGAGGAACACCACCAGGCAAACGACCAUUGAAACCUCACAACACAGACAAAUGUCAGGUUGAGGUUAGGGACUGUGGGAAUUCAACAGAAAACCAUCAGAUGGAAAGUACACAAAGAAGAGAAAACAUCCAGGAAGGAAAAAGAUGAAGGCUAUGAAUUGAGGAAACCUAAAUGGGAUGAAUUCAACCAAAAAAAGAAAGAGUUGAAGCAGAAUCGCCAGCAGAAUGAGAAAAAAGAGAGUUACCAGACUGUGAGCAGAGCAAAGCAAGCAUGGGAAAUUGUAAGGCAUUUUGAAAGCAAAUCCAGAGAAAUAGGAGAGCAUCAUGGAUGAAAUGAAGCCGAUCCUCACACCAAUGGCACAGAACUUCAUAUGGCAGAACACCCUGCUGGUCAUCUGGUGUUGAAAGGGUCAAUCGAGCAGGAUGCUAAGAUAAAGGAGACAGAAAGAGAAGGCAAGUAGAAAAUCUCAAACCCUGACACACUGGGUCACAGUUUUGAGUUUAAAAUCUUAAUGGGAAUUUUGAGAAUAUUGUUGGAUUUCCUUUUCCAUUCUUAGAACUCAUUUACUUUAUGUUGCUAAUAAAAAAAAAAAACUGAUCAGUUUUCCAAUGCAAACAAAUGUUUUACUGGUCUGUCCUGCCUUGUUUUACUCCCCACAGUGUUUCUCCAGGAUUCUUCUGCAGAAGGUGCAGUGGGAGAACAUCAAGACGUGGGCUUCAGUCAACCCUGGUGCCGUUGUUCUUUGUUGGUAAGUUUAUGACCUCCACAAAUGAACGGAUCUAAAAAUAACAAAAUACUCUCCCUUUUAUGCACUCUAGUAAGUAGAAAAUGUGGUUUUGAAUUAGUGGGCGUAAACAUAGCACAGCAGCCAUUGUUCUGCAAGCGCCGGUUAAAUACACUGAACACACACAGUGCAAUAUUCAUGUUUAAAGCCCCUGCUUUUUAUAGAGCCUCCAAAAGUGCUUAUACUAUGACAUCCCAAGCUCUCUAUCGCAGCAAAUUUGCUGCUUUUCCAUCAGGCUGUCUUUUAAACCUUCAUUAUUAGCUGGAGGAAUUCCCUACAGUGAACUUUAGGUUAAGCACAUCUUCCACAGUCCUGCUUCAUUAUCCUGUGCUGUUGUCUGUAUGCUAAUAAAGGACUAAACUGUGGCUCCCAGCUGCCACAGAAGCAGGCAAACCCUUGUGUUACAUGCCACAAAGGAUUAUGGGUUGGUUGCACUCCCCAUCUCAGCCUCAGUCUUUGUGCAUGACCUCUUAUAAUCUCUCUAAGACUUUAAGCAGUGAGAGUUGUUUCUUUAUUUUUUUUUUAGCCUGGACUGUUUGUUUAUUCUGAUGUCAUUUUCCCACCAAACAAAACAGAAAAUAAACAAACCCCCUGCUUUAUUCAGAGACACGUUUAGCGUAUGAGUGGAUCUGUGAAUUGGUUAAUUG